AUGGAGCCUCCCCCCCCCUCCCCAAAUUUUGCCCUGCUGAGCUCUGGGAACUGCCACAACUCAGCGCACUGCUGGGCCCUACGGGAGCGGGGCUGCUGGGCUGGGCUUUCCCGAGAUCAGCCGGGCUUUAUUAGGGUGUGGUGGCUCCAAGCUUGGGCACCCUGCGGGGCACAGAAUGGGCUGGGAGCCCCCCCACCAUGGUCCACCCCCCCCCAACAGCGCACGGGGAGGCUGCAGGCCUCACCAGGGCAGGUUUGGGAGGGACGGAGCCCCCCGGUGCGCAGGGCAGCCCCAUCCUCUGAGCCUCGCCUUUGGGUGCGCAGCCACCUGGCUGCAGCUGGACCCCAUGGCCCCCUCCCCGUGGCUGCUGCCCCCUGGGACCCCGACCCCCACCCCGGGCAGGGUUUGCAGGCACCGUUUGGCUGCUAUCCAAGCUGGGGGCCAGCAGCAGAGGUGCGAGCGUGCCCGUCGGGGACUCUUGGCGACCUUCCCCCGGUGUCAUGCCCGAGGGUGCCCCCCCCGCGCCCCGCGGUGCGCCCCCGCCCCAGCCGCGUUUCGCUCAGCGGCACCUCGCCGGCUGCCGGCUUCCGCUGCGGUCUGGGCCCCGCCGCGCCGGGGCCUCGCUGCUCGCCCCUGAGCUGCGGGCGUUUCUCUCGCCCCCUCCGCCUGCCCCACACCGCAGGGCCGGGGCAGAGCGGAGCUGCUCGGAGUGGGGGGUCCCGGUGGGGCUGGGGGCCCCCAUGCCCGUUUUACCCUCCCCAAGGACCCGCGGUGACGCUCGGCACUGUCACAGGGAGCGGCUCUGGAGCAGAGGGGGCUUGGGGAUGGUGUUUUGUGCCACCAGCCCCUCGCACACACACACCCCGGCCCCACCAGGCACCCAGAGCCCCCCCAUGCACCCACAGCCCCCCAGGCCUGGAGCAGGAUUUCCCCGGCUGCACGGGGACCCCGAUGGCACUGGCCCAGCCACAGCACCGCUGUCAGCGCUGUCCCCGCGGGGCUGGGGCUCGGCCGUGCCAUCACCCCUGGGGUUCACGGCGGUUUUUUGGUUUUGAUUGUCCUAUUUCUUCGUGCCUGCCACAGCAGUAA
rnacentral:lncRNA from 1 species